UGGAGAUGAAUCUAGCAACAAGAUUGCUGAUUUCUUUGAGAAAUGCAAGACAGAUCCUCAAUAUUGGAACAAGAUUUCAACAACAGGCCUGCAACGUAUAUACGAAUGGUAAUUGCAUGACAUGAACUAAAUCAUCACAAAUCUCACCAUAUAAAAUUUCCCAUUAUCACUGGACAAUGCUUCAUUAUCUUGCAGCUAUACAUGGAAGAUUUAUGCAAAUAAGGUGUUGAACAUGGGAUCCAUUUAUGGGUUUUGGAGUAAGCUAAACAAGGAACAGAAGCUUGCCAAGCAAAGAUACAUUGGAACAUUUUACAAUCUUCAGUUCAGGAAUUUGGUAAGUUUCUUACUUAUUGUCAGGAUUUUGUUCAAAUCAAAUGCAACUUGCCCUACUACAUUUUAGGGUUUAUGCAAUAGAAAAAUAAGUAAAAGUCUAUCCUACGCUGCAAUGUAUCUACAGUGUCAGUUUAAGCACAUAAAGACAACAAUUUUGGGCCAUUGUCUUACACCCAUUCUUGUAGUAGUGUCGAUUUGACUAAGCUACUGUAUUUUGCAGGUGAAGGACGUUCCUAUUGCAAGUGUUGAACCCCGAACACAGCCUUCCUCAUCGUCGUCAGCUGCAACUAGAGAACCUCAAGAACG
rnacentral:lncRNA from 1 species